CGCCGCCAGGAGCCCGCCUGACACUCCGCGGUCUUGGUGUUUUCUGUCCUGUUGCAUCGAAACAAUUCCUCAGGACACCAACAUCACCCAAGGCCACUGUGUGACCACGAAGGGUCAAGACGAAAACAGGGCACCUCUGUAAUCAUCCUGAACCCGGACAAAACAAGAACAUUGUCCGAACCCCCAAAAUUGACCAAACAUCCCCUCUCCCAGCUAAUCUGAGCCCUGGUUAGGCCUCUGCUUUGCCAGUGACGGCGGCAGGCUGUCUCUAGUCUGCUCUCCCCAUCUCCCCACCCAGCGAUAGAACCACCUGGGUCCUGGCAGCAUCUAACCCAGAGCAAACCCACUUCCUAAGCCCUCCCCCAAGUCACUCCCCCCCCCCCCAGGGGUACAUGCAAGCUUCUCCUCCUCCUCCUUGCUGCAGUAAGAACCCCAACUUGUUCUCUUCGAGGUGUGUCCCUGGGGGCUUUGGCUGGAGGGCAUUGACAACAGUUCAGUGACUUGCCCGAGGAGGUGACCCAGGCGACAGGUUCCUGCUGCACCAGAGAGGAUGGUGCUCUCCCACCCUGAAAGAUAGAAAUGCAAAGUCGUGACAGUCACCUGAGAAUCUGUGGCCCUAAGCAUUCCUGGGAGUGGGGCUAGGAAAACAGAAAUGCAGAAACCAGAGUUUGAAACGCCUCCACCCUUCACACCUCCCUCCCCCUCUCGCCCUCCCUCCCUGUCCUACCUCCCUCGUUGCUCCCAGCCCCCGGCCAGCAGGCCAGCACUGCUCUGGCCUCUGCUCGGUGCUCUGAAGGUUAUGCAUCCAGGGGACUCCUCCUCCUCUUCCGACGCUGACACCCGGCGGCUGCUGCACAGUUUCUGUUCCCGGGGGUGGCUGAUGGGUCAGAAAGACAGUGGAGGUGGGGGGUCUCAAGCUGCGCUUGCAGAGCAAGCACAGUUUUUAAUCAGAUCAAUGAAAACAGCAAAGUUUUCUGAUGAUGCCUUCCCUCUCCAGUUGCUUGUUGUGUGUGUGUGUGUGUGUGUGUGUAAAUUGUCAUUUAUUUGGGGUGACUGAGGGAGAAGCGGACAGAGAUGACAGGGAGAAGUCUGACACUCCCAGCCCCCAGCCACUCCCUGGUGGGCCCACUGAAAACUCUGUCUCCUGGUUGGACGGAGAAAGAGGGGUCUACGUACCUUUUGUACCUCGGUCCCCAGCGCUCAGCCACACCCCCCUCCAUGAAUGAAGGCCACACAGUGGAACAUCAGUAGGGAUCAGGGAAAAGAGAGGUUCGCAGAUUUCACAUACACACGGACACGCAAACACACAGAUAGAUGCGUCCCCAGUGCCCGCAGCCCCCAACACACUGGGAGUGAUCUGUGGGGUCCCUACAAACUCGCCCCCCCCCCAUAUGACCAUGCUCGCUCCCGGCCUCAUCAAACAUUUAUCAUGUAGCGCUCCUGCCUCGCGCCGCCGUGGGGGACAGUGAGGUAAAUAUGCCUUCCUUACCCCUAAGGAGCGUGGAAUCUAAUUAUCUUCUAGAGAUCCUUUGGGGAUCUGCUUAAUAAAUCAAUACAAAUGAUUUAUAAUUAGAAUAUCAAUUAUGUGUAUGCAAAUGUGGCCUUCUGGGUGGUUGGGAACAAGUCCUAAGGAUUGAAAAGACUCUAUCCCCCCACCUCUACCCCAAAUAGUUAAUUACGUUAUUUUGUUCAUUCAUCAAACAUUUACUGAACACCUUUUCAUGCCAGGCACAGAGAUGGGGACCAAGGAUCCAUUCCUGGUCACUCACAGUCAGGAGGGAAGAACCAAGGGGGUUCUGGCGGCGGGGAGAGCUUGCUUCUGGGGGAGGAAGGGUGCCGGCGUUGGUCCUCUUCCCCCGCCCCCUAGACCUCCCAACAUCCGCCUCGAUGGCUGAGACCCUCAGCUGAGCAGGCGGCCCUCCCAAGUCCUCAUGCCUGAGAUUGGAAGGGCCCCCAUCUCUGGACAAGGGUUAGGCCCCACGGCUGCACCCCUGUUUGCAAAGCUGUCGGGCAGCUCUGACUCUGAUCUCCCCACUCCGCAUCCAGGCUGGUUCUGAGUUGCUGGGUCUACGUGGGUUUUAAGAAGUCCUGUGUACAAGCUAGUCCUGAAACUCGAAGGCCCGGUGACUGGAUCUUCGUCCAUUCCUUCAUCCAUCCGUUCAUUUCUUCACUCGCUCCUCUGUCGAUUGCUGUCUUCAAGCCCUUGCUAGGUGCUGGAG
rnacentral:lncRNA from 1 species